GUAGGUGGCAAGCGUUGUCCGGAAUUAUUGGGCGUAAAGCGCGCGCAGGCGGUUCUUUAAGUCUGAUGUGAAAGCCAACGGCUCAACCGUGGAGGGUCAUUGGAAACUGGAGAACUUGAGUACAGAAGAGGAAAGCGGAAUUCCACGUGUAGCGGUGAAAUGCGUAGAGAUGUGGAGGAACACCAGUGGCGAAGGCGGCUUUCUGGUCUGUAACUGACGCUGAGGCGCGAAAGCGUGGGGAGCAAACAGGGAUUAGAUACCCUGGUAGUCCACGCCGUAAACGAUGAGUGCUAAGUGUUAGGGGGGUUUCCGCCCCCUUAGUGCUGCAGCUAACGCAUUAAGCACUCCGCCUGGGGAGUACGGCCGCAAGGCUG
rnacentral:rRNA from 1 species